CAACUUUCAACAACGGAUCUCUUGGCUCUCGCAUCGAUGAAGAACGUAGCGAAAUGCGAUAAGUAAUGUGAAUUGCAGAAUUCAGUGAAUCAUCGAAUCUUUGAACGCACCUUGCGCUCCUUGGUAUUCCGAGGAGCAUGCCUGUUUGAGUGUCAUUA
rnacentral:rRNA from 1 species